GCAAAUCCAACUUCUUUGAGAGAAGAGUUGCUGACUAUCAGAAGGCUUCUGUGAUGUCAAGCUUGCAAGACAAUGGCAAGAAUUUUGAGUUCAAACUGGAUGAAGACUUCUAGAGUUUUUUUUCCCUGGUAUCACCUUGAUGCUGAAAGAUGGCAUUCUUUUUAUGGUAAUAUUAUUCAUCAAAGAUCAUAUUGUUAAUAGUCCAUACCUUUUUCUGAUCACUUUUAGGAGGGCAAUUGAUUGCCUUCAUUUGAAGAAAAAGUAAAGUUUAUUUGCCAGACAUGAUGGUUUUGGUAGUUAAUGAGUAUUGAGUAGACUUUGAAAACUAUGUGAAACUAAUUGUCCAUACACUUGUUGCCAAGUAGGGG
rnacentral:misc_RNA from 1 species